AGUGAACGCUGGCGGUAGGCCUAACGCAUGCAAGUCGAACGGCAGCACAGUAAGAGCUUGCUCUUACGGGUGGCGAGUGGCGGACGGGUGAGGAAUACAUCGGAAUCUACUUUUUCGUGGGGGAUAACGUAGGGAAACUUACGCUAAUACCGCAUACGACCUACGGGUGAAAGCAGGGGAUCUUCGGACCUUGCGCGAUUGAAUGAGCCGAUGUCGGCUUAGCUAGUUGGCGGGGUAAAGGCCCACCAAGGCGACGAUCCGUAGCUGGUCUGAGAGGAUGAUUAGCCACAUUGGAACUGAGACACGGUCCAGACUCCUACGGGAGGCAGCAGUGGGGACUAUUGGACAAUGGGGGCAAGCCUGAUCCAGCCAUACCGCGUGGGUGAAGAAGGCCUUCGGGUUGUAAAGCCCUUUUGUUGGGAAAGAAAAGCAGCAGGUUAAUACCCCGCUGUUCUGACGGUACCCAAAGAAUAAGCACCGGCUAACUUCGUG
rnacentral:rRNA from 1 species